AAUCUCAAACUUAAAACCGAGUCUAACUUGCGACCGCCGUACGAAAUGUGUACGUUCAGCUUGCCAUUGUCCGGCGUUCCACGACUGCUCACCGCUUGCCCACUCAUUACAUAGCCUUGCACGGGUCAGCACCCCCUAUUGCGUCGCUUUCGACGCGAUUAUGGCGUAUGCUAGAUACCUACUUUCGCCCCCUGGCAUUCCGGAGCGCGCUAACCUCGCCGGCUAUAGUCUAAUCCAUCAACCACCCCAUUUCCGAGUGGUUCGGUUGCUAGACAUCGACCAGACUCUCCUGCUGGUCGGUGUGACCCUGACUCUGUGCCGGGUCUGAGGAUGCCCUCCGUCGUCACCCCUUAAAACCUGUUACCCGCGUUCGGACUAGGUCGUUACGGCGCACGUCCUUCUUCCGGAAGCCCAACAUUUGACGAAAACAUGCCUUGCUUUGCCAGGACCAAUUAUGGACCCCGAUUACUGCCAUGGCAUUCUUAUUCGUGGCCGAUUGAUGCACGGUCGUCGGCGCCAUUAUGCAUCCCACGUUCGCAAUUAGCCUUAAUGACCCGCAUUUCGCACGCGUCCGCCAAAACAUUCUGUCCGCACUUUAGGGGCCCGAAUUGGACCCUUACCGCGAACACUGACGUUUCGACCUCACGCCGUCUCCCCCUACCUUAAGGCGCACAUCGUCACUUUACGCAUCUAUACGCCUCCUUGUGGCUACCGCUUCCGUUAGGGGACCCGGACGUGACUGCGAGUACGUGCUUUCGCACCCCUCGUUUGUCCUAAUCUAUGGGACCAUCAGGUGCGGGAUUUGCUACAGUUGACCAACAACCCAGAGAAGACUGAGUCAUUGCUUCGAUUGCGCACUUCAACUGGCGGACCCCUCAUGCCGGCGUUCCAACUUUGAGUUUCCUUAACUGCCCCUGGGCGUGUUCGCCACCUACUACACCAAAUUAAGCUACGUUGCGCUUUUUGGAAUGGGUGGAAACUGUACAUGCCUUAAACGGUCUCUACCGAAUCACGAGCUUUCUCUCGGCAUUGUGUCCACGACGUACCGACAGCAGUCGAGCACAGCACUCUACAACCCAAUUCAGGGCGUUGCUCGCGUUGGGAACAGUAAUCAACGAUGCUUUCCCGUGAGAUUACUCUGACGGCCACUGUUUGGCCUCCUUCCACCCCUACUGCAGUUCAGGAGUACCGGGAAUAUCCACCCCGAUGUGUGCAGUAUGUUACCGGCCAUGUUUCCCAGCGUUUGGGCGCUCCCCCUCGAUUAGGUAGUUUCGGCCAGCAUCAGGCCUAGCGUCAGACGUUGAGCUGACGCACUUCAGCCUUAGCGAUCAUUAGCACCUAGUCGUACAGUGCCACUUAUGCAAGGGCCCAGAACAUGUGUGGCGGGCAGUGUGGUACCCUCGCCCAGAGCGGUCUUCAUCAAUCGGAUUGGCGUUCCUCCCGCUAAUGGUGCCGCCCCAAGCACUGACCCCACUUCAGCAGCA
rnacentral:rRNA from 1 species